AGUCUGAACGCUGGCGGCGUGGCUAAGACAUGCAAGUCGAACGGUGUAGCAAUACACAGUGGCGGACGGGUGAGUAAUGAAUCGCUAAUGUACCCCGAUGUCUGGGAUAGCCAUCCGAAAGGAUGGGUAAUACCAGAUGAGACCACAGAACCGCAUGGUUCGGUGCUCAAAGGGUCACCGCAUUGGGCGCAGGCGAUUUCGAUCAGCUAGUUGGUGAGGUAACGGCUCACCAAGGCGACGACGCGUAGCCGGGCUGAGAGGUCGGCCGGCCACAUUGGGACUGAGACACUGCCCAGACUCCUACGGGGGGCUGCAGUAACGAAUCUUCCGCAAUGCACGAAAGUGUGACGGAGCGACGCCGCGUGUAGGAUGAAGUCCUGGAUGUAAACUACUGUCAGGGAAAGAAAGUUACUGAUCUACCCAGAGAAGAGCGGCUAACUCUGUGCCAGCAGCCGC
rnacentral:rRNA from 1 species